GUACAUAUAGAUUUGAUGAUGAAGAUAAAAAAGCGUUUAACACCAUGUGGCUUUGGUACUUAAACUACACAAAAAACAGCAAUGCUAACGCUAGCUAACUACUGAAUGCACCUUUAAAGUAUGUAUUAUUUUGCUGUUUAUCUGGGCACAAAAGUCAACCACAAACUUUUUUUUAUACAUUUCAAUAAAUAGUUCGUAAUGUCAAACCAUCUUAUUUCAACCUAAAAGCUGCUUUCUGGAGAAAUGUCAUCAAAUGAAACCUGCCUCUAUAAAUGUUCAAAUAUUCUGGUUAUAUAAAAAGAAGAGUCUGGCUCACUACAGUGUAUAAAGAACCACAUUUUCUUUGUCUUCCCCCACUAUCCAAAAAGAAGAUUCCAGUGCCUUAAAAGUUUUUAUUUUUUACUUCAAAAAUCCUUCCACUUACUUAGGGUUUAUACAUCCUUUCUGCAUCCUAGUUUCUGUUAUUAAGCUCUUGCAUACAGUAUGCCAGCAGCUGAAUUUGGAAUAACAUAGCACACUACUCUUACUAUUUCAGCAAUAUUAGAAUAUGGCAGAAAUAGAAACAAUAGCCAGGGUUUAUCUAGUUAGCAUACUUCAAUUAGAAUCAGAUAGCAGAUGCUGUAGCUACACCAUUUGGGUCCAAAAAGCAUCUUUAUCCACUGACAAGCAUUUAAAAGUAUCCAUGGGUUUUUGCAAACAAAAUAUAAAUCACAGAUAUUUCAAAACACAUACUUGCAGGGCUCUUGCUCCAGCCUAGCAACUGACAUUGAGAUAAAUGUGAAUGCUAGCGGCUAGCUUUCUCCAGGUAUUCUAGACCUCAUUGCCACCACGAAAACCACUUUACUUUCUCAGGAUGUUGUUUCUCUGUGCUCUGUUACUCUGAUCUAAAAGCAUUCUCAAUAAAACUGAACAGGAAGGGAAAAGUAAAAGGAAAUGUUUGGUUUAUUUUUAAAGAAACAGUACUCCCAAAAUGCAAAUGUUGCCAUUAUUGUCCAUACGACUUGCAAUGUUGGUCACGAGUCAUAUGGAUUACUUUUAUGAUGUUUUGUUAUUUUUGAGAGCUUAACA